rnacentral:rRNA from 1 species
UACGUAGGGUGCGAGCGUUAAUCGGAAUUACUGGGCGUAAAGGGUGCGCAGGCGGUUCUGCAAGUCAGGCGUGAAAUCCCCGGGCUUAACCUGGGAAUGGCGCUUGAAACUACGGGACUGGAGUAUGGCAGAGGGAGGUGGAAUUCCACGUGUAGCGGUGAAAUGCGUAGAGAUGUGGAGGAACACCGGUGGCGAAGGCAGCCUCCUGGGCCAAUACUGACGCUCAUGCACGAAAGCGUGGGGAGCAAACAGG